UGUCAACAUCAAAAAGGGCGAAAGGAGAUGGUGGUGUGUGUGUGUGUGACUAAAAAUAAACAAUAAUUUAUAGCCAUUUCUAACCUAAAUAUUUUCAUAACAUGUCGAGUCGGUCAAACUUUGUGGAUAUAUUGUUUACUCACCUUGACAAAAAAUCUGCAAGAAUAUCAAGAUGGCGUCGGACAAGCCAAUGCACACCACCAAGUACUAUCACAGGAUCAAAUGUUGAAAGUGUUCUAAGGGAAGAUUGCAAAUAGAACAACAAAUUGCAGCAUUUCAUAAUCUAUCACAUACACUUUUAAAAUUGACUGAGUCACCAAUGAAUAAAACCUGGCCAGGUGAUCAGAAAGUAAAUCAGUCUGAUGCCAAGUGGCAUUUUUCCAAUAGCAAGUGUUGCUGUCUCUGCAUGUAUUGCAAGGAACCAUCCAGUGACCAGCUAGUGAACACAGAAAGACAGGUGUAAAAAAAGCUGUAUUUUUAAAGACUACAUUAA